ensembl:miRNA
UUGGCCAAAAGGUUCGUUUGGGUUUUUCCAUAAGAUGUUACAAAAAAGCCUGAACGAACUUUUUGGCCAA